CACCGCCCGUCACACCAUGGGAGUUGGUUUCACCCGAAGGCAGUGCGCUAACCCGCAAGGGAGGCAGCUGACCACGGUGGGAUCAGCGACUGGGGUG
rnacentral:rRNA from 1 species